GUAGGUGGCAAGCGUUGUCCGGAAUUAUUGGGCGUAAAGCGCGCGCAGGCGGUUCUUUAAGUCUGAUGUGAAAGCCCACGGGCUCAACCGUGGAGGGUCAUUGGAAACUGGAGAACUUGAGUACAGAAGAGGAAAGCGGAAUUCCACGUGUAGCGGUGAAAUGCGUAGAGAUGUGGAGGAACACCAGUGGCGAAGGCGGCUUUCUGGUCUGUAACUGACGCUGACGCGCGAAAGCGUGGGGAGCAAACAGGAUUAGAUACCCUGGUAGUCCACGCCGUAAACGAUGAGUGCUAAGUGUUAGGGGGUUUCCGCCCCUUAGUGCUGCAGCUAACGCAUUAAGCACUCCGCCUGGGGAGUACGGCCGCAAGGCUG
rnacentral:rRNA from 1 species